rnacentral:rRNA from 1 species
GAGCACGUAGGUGGGUUUGUAAGUCAGAUGUGAAAGCCUUCUGUUCAACGGAAGAAUCGCAUCUGAAACUGCGAGUCUUGAGUGUAGGAGGGGAGAAUGGAACUUCUGGUGGAGCGGUGAAAUGCGUAGAUAUCAGAAGGAACGCCGGCGGCGAAAGCGAUUCUCUGGCCUAUUACUGACACUCAGUGUGCGAAAGCUAGGGGAGCAAACGGGAUUAGAUACCCCGGUAGUCCUAGCCGUAAACGAUGGGCACUAAGUAGAGGGGUUUU